UGGUGGUUAAGUGGUAGGAUUCUUGCCUUCCAUGCAGGAGAUCUGGGUUUGAUUCCUAGCCA
rfam:Loxodonta africana unplaced genomic scaffold scaffold_77, whole genome shotgun sequence.